rnacentral:rRNA from 1 species
UACGGAGGGUGCAAGCGUUAUCCGGAUUCACUGGGUUUAAAGGGUGCGUAGGUGGAUUGGUAAGUCAGUGGUGAAAUCUCCGAGCUUAACUUGGAAACUGCCAUUGAUACUAUCAGUCUUGAAUAUUGUGGAGGUUAGCGGAAUAUGUCAUGUAGCGGUGAAAUGCUUAGAUAUGACAUAGAACACCAAUUGCGAAGGCAGCUGGCUACGCAUAUAUUGACACUUGAGGCACGAAAGCGUGGGGAUCAAACAGG